rnacentral:rRNA from 1 species
UACGAAGGGGGCUAGCGUUGCUCGGAAUCACUGGGCGUAAAGCGCACGUAGGCGGCUUCUUAAGUCAGGGGUGAAAUCCUGGAGCUCAACUCCAGAACUGCCUUUGAUACUGAGGAGCUCGAGUCCGGGAGAGGUGAGUGGAACUCCGAGUGUAGAGGUGAAAUUCGUAGAUAUUCGGAAGAACACCAGUGGCGAAGGCGGCUCACUGGCCCGGUACUGACGCUGAGACGCGAAAGCGUGGGGAGCGAACAGG